AUCCGUCGAUUUCUGUUCCCAACCUCUUGUUUUCGCUCAUUUCAUGUAAGCCGUGGAUCAUCAUCUUGCUUUGUUUCUGUUUUUUUAUUUUAAUUNAAGAUAAAAUAUAUAAUUCUAUACAAUCAUGAAUACCAGCUGUAAUUGAACUUCUAAAUUCUAACCAUAUAAGAAAAUUUUUGUGCCGAAUAAGAUAUAGCGGAAUAUCUCCUUCUGAUGUCCCAACAUAGCCUAAUAAAAAAAAUUUGAAAAAUAAUUUAUUCUAUACAACCAUGUAGAUUGGGUGCACGAGAAUAUUUUCUUCCUCCACCUCUUUGAGAGAAAUAAAUACAUUUUUAUAUAAUUUAAUAUAUAAAAAUACGGAAUAUAAUUUUAUAUGUAAAAUUUGUAUCUACUUUUCCAACCAAUAAAAACAAGCACGAAUGCUAAAGAAAGUUAAUUUUGUACAGUUUUAUGCGAAAACAAACAACUCCUCCUAGUAUCAAUGUCAUGGUCAUCGCCAAAAAUUCUUUUCUAAAUUUUUUGUGUGGAAACAAACAGCUCCUGAAGUUAUGGAUUCUUUCUCUCAAUAAUGGAUUCGAAAUCCUACGGCUAGUAUCAUGGUCAUCGCCAACAUUACUUUUUUGAAAAUUUUAUGUGGAAAUUAAACAAGAAGCUUCUGGGAUGGUGGAUUCCUUUUCUCUCGUCGUGCAACAACAGCCGUGGAUGAGAAAUCCAGCGGCUGGUAUCAAAGGGCAUGGUCGCUACAAAAAUCGUUCUUUCAAAAUUUUGUAUGAAAACAUACAGUUCCUGAGAUUACGGAUUUUUUUUUUCUCGUUACACGACAACAACCGUGGAUGAGAAAUCCGACGGCUGGUAUGAAGGGCGAGAUCACGAGCAAAACUAUGUUUUCACAAAUUUAUACAGAAAUGAACGACUCCUGUGGUUGCGGAUUCCUUUCUCUCAUCAUGCCACAACAGCCGCGGAUGCGAAAUGCGACGGCUGGCAUCGAGGGCACAGUUAUAUAUACAUCACCAUCGCAUUUAUGCCGCCGCGGGCCAAAAUAAAACUCGUCUCCUCAACCAUUUCUCUCUCUCUCUCUCUCUCUCUCUCUCUCUCUCGCGUGAAAAAGGAGAUUCAAAGGCGCGUUGUCGCGGUUCGAAUACUGAAAGGGGCGUACGCUCCACGUGGGAGCAAAUCGGCGACUUGCGUUCGCGGGGUUUGAAAAGGGUCGGACCACGUGGAGUAGAAGUCGGCGACGCAUUCGACCCCGACGCCGUCUUAAUUAAGACUUCUCCUCCUCCUCCUCCUCCUCCGACGAAUCCCCUCCUCCUCCUCCUCUAUUUUUUUUUUAAAUUCCAGGUAAUAAUAAAUAUCGUAAUAAUAAUAAAUAUUUAAUCUCUUCGUAAUUACUCUCCCUUCGCCACCACCAUUAUCCGUCGAUUUCUGUUCCCAACCUCUUGUUUUCGCUCAUUUCAUGUAAGCCGUGGAUCAUCAUCUUGCUUUGUUUCUGUUUUUUUAUUUUAAUUCAUGAGCCAUUUGUUUGUUUACUUAUUUAUUUAUUAUGGAGAGGAACAUGCAAUCGUCACAGAUGAGAUUGAUGAGUGGGUGCACAAUAAAUAAAUGAGAUUAAGAAUCUGGCCUUCGU
rnacentral:lncRNA from 1 species